GCAAAAGGUAUUUUUACCUUCUUAAAACUUGUUUUCACAUAGUAAAUAAUUUCUUUAAAUUAGGUUGAAAAUAUAAUUAACAACUGUAGACAAGUGAAAUUCGUAAUUUAUACAGGGAAGGCUAAUUUUAACAUGUAGCAUAGAUAAUAUUUUCCUGCAGGGCACCAUUAAAUCGAAAUAGAAAAGUUGAGAAAUGUAUUAUAUGCUCAAACUUUGUUAUUUUAAUCACACAGAUCCACAUAUAUAUCUAUUUGCAACAUAUUGAUGUCCCCUUUGCUCAUACAGUGCUGAUGAUUCGUACAAGGUAAAGAACCAUAUAGCAAAAGCUGCUAUGGCUCAACAUAACGGUGCAAAGGAUAUCGCCAAUCUUACAGAUGCCUUUGAAUGGACUUGAAGCUGUUCUCCAGGUGGUGGUACUAGCACAGGGAGACAAAGCUUACCUCACCCUGGCAUGCCAAGACAUACCUCGGCAUUGGCCUUCAAGUGCUUUGUUUCUGGGAAGAAGACUCACUUUGCUUGGCUGGAUGGUAAGGACCUUUGACCUUUUUCACUUAAAACAUGCGAAAUUAGAUUUGAACUACAUGAAAUCUAUUUUUUAUUAACAGGUGAGAUCCACUGGGGUAAAUUUUCAGAGUCAUUCAAGGCAGAAAAUCGGAUUCCUUUUGCAGUUGAAAUGUGUUCUUCCUGCAACCGGUAAUAUAAAGACUGUGUGGGCUUCACCGGAAACGGAAGACGAGGAGAGUACCCUUGUUACUACUCUGAUGGCAAGCUUUGCAACCGGCAGAGCGGGGGAGACUAGCUUUGCGCGCAUAUGGAGUUAGUUUUUUUUUGGAAUGUUGGCCAGGCGGUAGCGUGAGGGAAACCCUACUAUGUUACUUACAAUCGCAUCAGCAGAAACGCGAGGUCC